GCUGAUGUGGCUCAGGGGUAGAGCAGCGCACUCGUAAUGCGCAGGUCGAGGGUUCGAAUCCCUCCAUCAGCUCCA
rnacentral:tRNA from 10 species